rnacentral:rRNA from 1 species
GCGUACAAAACCUACCUUUUACUGGGGGAAAGUCGCUGGAAACGGCGAAUAAUCCCGCAUACGACUAUAAUAACACAUGUUAUAAUAGUGAAAGGCUUCGGUUGGUAAAAGAUGGUUGUGCGUCCCAUUAGCUAGAUGGUAAGGUAAUGGCUUACCAAGGCGACGAUCUCUAGCUGGUUUGAGAGGAUGAUCAGCCACACUGGGACUGAGACACGGCCCAGACUCCUACGGGAGGCAGCAGUGGGGAAUAUUGCACAAUGGGGGAAACCCCUGAUGCAGCCAUGCCGCGUGUGUGAAGAA